UAGAGUUUGAUCAUGGCUCAGAUUGAACGCUGGCGGCGUGCUUAACACAUGCAAGUCGAACGGUGAACCAGGGCUUGCCCUGGGGAUCAGUGGCGAACGGGUGAGUAACACGUGGGCAACCUGCCCCUGACUCUGGGAUAACUCCUCGAAAGAGGUGCUAAUACCGGAUACGACCACUUCGGGCAUCCGAUGGUGGUGGAAAGAAUUUUGGUCAGGGAUGGGCCCGCGGCCUAUCAGCUUGUUGGUGGGGUAACGGCCCACCAAGGCGACGACGGGUAGCCGGCCUGAGAGGGCGACCGGCCACACUGGGGCUGAGACACGGCCCAGACUCCUACGGGAGGCAGCAGUGGGGAAUAUUGCGCAAUGGGCGAAAGCCUGACGCAGCGACGCCGCGUGAGGGACGACGGCCUUCGGGUUGUAAACCUCUUUCAGCAGGGACGAAGCGAAAGUGACGGUACCUGCAGAAGAAGCACCGGCUAACUACGUGCCAGCAGCCGCGGUAAU
rnacentral:rRNA from 1 species